rnacentral:rRNA from 1 species
UACGGGGGGAGCAAGCGUUGUUCGGAUUACUGGGCGUAAAGGGCGCGUAGGCGGCCAGCACAAGUCAGUUGUGAAAUCUCCGAGCUUAACUCGGAAAGGUCAACUGAUACUGCGGGGCUAGAGUGCAGAAGGGGCAACUGGAAUUCUCGGUGUAGCGGUGAAAUGCGUAGAUAUCGAGAGGAACACCUGCGGCGAAGGCGGGUUGCUGGGCUGACACUGACGCUGAGGCGCGAAAGCUAGGGGAGCGAACGGG